GAGACAUGGGGGCGCGGCGGGGCUUAGGGACAGGGGCGGCCUUGGAGUUGACGACCUUGACAGUGAGAUUGUGGCCGGCGGUGCCGGGCUUUAGUUCUUCUACCUUAACGAAGACGGGCUUUCUCUUCUCUGCUGUCGCCAUUAUCGAGAUCGAGAGAUUUGUUGAGCCCUGGCAGCCCCUCGCAGCAGAGAAUAGAAGAA
rnacentral:misc_RNA from 1 species